rnacentral:sRNA from 1 species
UCUGGGCAUGGUGGCACACGCCUGUAAUCCCAGCAGCUCUGGAGGCGGAGGCAGGAGGAUCGCGAGUUCAAAGCCAGCCUCAGCAAAAGUGAGGCUAAGCAACUCAGUGAGACUCUGUCUCUA